GGACUCUCAGGUGGACCCUCGACAAACCGGUUGCCUCAUUUUCUCAUUUGUGUCAAGUCUCAGCGUGCAGCCGUCACGCUCGCACAGGCAAUAAACCCGCAGAAGAAACAAGAUGAAAUCAAUAAGCAUCUGAUGUUGUACUCAUCAAGCACAGGAUUCUGAAGGGCAACACAAACACGCUGCAGCUGACGGGCCUCUUCGACAGUCGUCCAAAGAGCAGCUGAAGAGAAACCAAUCAGCAGAGCAGCUCCCAGAAGAUUGUUCUUGACCUCUUGGUUACUUGACAACAAAGACAUGAGGAGUCAAUUUGUACAGCAGGAGGCUUCAG